rnacentral:rRNA from 1 species
GUGGGGAAUUUUGGACAAUGGGCGAAAGCCUGAUCCAGCCAUGCCGCGUGCAGGAUGAAGGCCUUCGGGUUGUAAACUGCUUUUGUACGGAACGAAAAGACUCCUUCUAAUAAAGGGGGUCCAUGACGGUACCGUAAGAAUAAGCACCGGCUAACUACGUGCCAGCAGCCGCGGUAAUACGUAGGGUGCAAGCGUUAAUCUGAAUUACUGGGCGUAAAGCGUGCGCAGGCGGUUAUAUAAGACAAAUGUAAAAUCCCCGGGCUCAACCUGGGAACUGCAUUUGUGACUGUAUAGCUAGAGUACGGUAGAGGGGGAUGGAAUUCCGCGUGUAGCAGUGAAAUGCGUAGAUAUGCGGAGGAACACCGAUGGCGAAGGCAAUCCCCUGGACCUGUACUGACGCUCAUGCACGAAAGCGUGGGGAGCAAACAGGAUUAGAUACCCUGGUAGUCC